rnacentral:rRNA from 1 species
CGGCCGCGGGAUUCGAUUAGAGUUUGAUCCUGGCUCAGAACGAACGCUGGCGGCGUGCUUAACACAUGCAAGUCGAACGCGAAAGGGACUUCGGUCCUGAGUAAAGUGACGCACGGGUGAGUAACGCGUGGAUAAUCUGCCCAAUGGACUGGGAUAACAUCUCGAAAGGGGUGCUAAUACCAAAUAAGACCACGGUCUCUUCGGGGACAGAGGUCAAAGGUAGCCUCUAUUUAUAAGCUAUCGCUGAGAGAUGGGCCUGCGUACCAUUAGCUAGUUGGUGAGGUAACGGCUCACCAAGGCAAAGAUGGUUAGCUGGUCUGAGAGGAUGAUCAGCCACACUGGAACUGAGACACGGCCCAGACUCCUACGGGAGGCAGCAGUGGGGAAUAUUGCGCAAUGGGCGAAAGCCUGACGCAGCAACGCCGCGUGAGUGAUGAAGGCCUUCGGGUCGUAAAGCUCUGUCGGAGGGGACGAAUGCUCUUGAGGUUAACAGCCUCGGGAGGUGACGGUACCCUCAAAGGAAGCACCGGCUAACUCUGUGCCAGCAGCCCCGGUCAA